rnacentral:rRNA from 1 species
UACGGAGGGUGCAAGCGUUAUCCGGAUUCACUGGGUUUAAAGGGUGCGUAGGUGGGCAAGUAAGUCAGUGGUGAAAUCUCCGGCUUAACCCGGAAACUGCCAUUGAUACUAUUUGUCUUGAAUACUGUGGAGGUCAGCGGAAUAUGUCAUGUAGCGGUGAAAUGCUUAGAUAUGACAUAGAACACCAAUUGCGAAGGCAGCUGGCUACACAAAUAUUGACACUGAGCACGAAAGCGUGGGGAGCGAACAGG